CAACCUUCAAGCUCUGCUUGGCAUUGGGUGUCACCUAACAUGGUGCAUCUUAAAAUCAGUGGCGGUGUCAUCUGGCUUCAAGCGUAGUAACAUUUUUCGCUUUGGAAGCUUGGGUGUGUGCUUUGCCAACAACCCUCUAAACUUAUUCAAA
rnacentral:misc_RNA from 1 species